rnacentral:rRNA from 1 species
UGGGGAAUAUUGCGCAAUGGGCGAAAGCCUGACGCAGCAACGCCGCGUGAGUGAUGAAGGCCUUCGGGUCGUAAAGCUCUGUCGGAGGGAACGAAUGCUCCUGAAGUUAACAGCCUCAGGAGGUGACGGUACUAUUUAUAAGGUCCGGCUAACUACGUGCCAGCAGCCGCGGUAAUACGUAGGGACCAAGCGUUGUUCGGAUUUACUGGGCGUAAAGGGCGCGUAGGCGGCAUGACAAGUCACUUGUGAAAUCUCUGGGCUUAACCCAGAACGGCCAAGUGAUACUGUCGCGCUAGAGUGCAGAAGGGGCAAUCGGAAUUCUUGGUGUAGCGGUGAAAUGCGUAGAUAUCAAGAGGAACACCUGAGGUGAAGACGGGUUGCUGGGCUGACACUGACGCUGAGGCGCGAAAGCCAGGGGAGCAAACGGGAUUAGAUACCCAUGUAGUCCCUGAGCGGGCUGGCAAGGCGCAU